rnacentral:lncRNA from 1 species
AGUUAGCGGAGCCUCAUUCUGAAGCAGUCGGUUGCCCUAACGGAGAACACACCGUCUAGAAGGGGUCAGUUAGGAAGAUCUCGAAAGGCCAAAUAUCAGAGGCAGCUGCCGCGAGGGCUUUGGCUAAUCGGCCAAUCUAUUCUCCUUCAACACCUCUGGCGUAGAGAAUUAACAUAGCAAAUGUCAGAAACAGAUGUCACCUGGUGGAAGGAGUGGCCUAUUUUCUAGCAUAAUGAAUGGGCUUUCUUGGUCAAAUUAAGGUUAUUCAAGACAUAUCAAUUGGCUGAAAUCAUUUAAAAUAGGAUGUAAGAAUUAACGCCAGUCUCUGGCCUCCACUCAGAGAUGGAGGCUGGGGCUUGCUCUCUUCACAGUCUUGUAUCCGGCCAUUCUCUUAGGAGGAUUUCCGGCUGACUGAUGGCAGUGAUAAGAACGCUGCUUCUGGAAUGUUGCAGCCACCUGAAAUGGACUGCCCGUGCACUGUGUGGUUUUGGUUGGGGCAAUUAAAAGAAUAUUGACCUGGAACUUUAUCAAGCCUUCAGAACAGGAGACAGGCCGAAAAGGGAGAACCAGAGAUACGGCAGUGUGAGAAGGACUCAGCUGAUAUUGCUUGCUUUGAAGAUGGAGGAAGGGGUCGUGAGCCAAGGAAUGCAAGCAGCCUCUAGAAGCUGGAAACGGCAUGGAAAUGGAUUCUCCCCUAGAGCCUCCAGAAAGAAUGCAGACUCACUGUGAUUUCAGACCUGCGAGACCCAUUUCAGAGUUUUGACCUCAAGAAGCGUAAGAUAAUACAUUUAUGUUAUUCUAAGGCACUAAGUUCAGGGUAAUUUGUUGCAGCAGCAAUAGAAAACUAAUACACAAGAUGAAAAGAAAUAAGGAAAUAUGACCACCAACUCCCAACAAGCAAGUCCCCAUUUUGUGCACUGUCAUGUGCACUGCGGCGCUGACCACCAUGGCUGCAUCACCCAGGCCCCCUUGCCCUCUGGGAUAUCAGACGCUUUCAGUUACCCAAGGAUAACAGCCGUCCAGAAGCAAAUGAGCCUCCUUCUGCCAUAUCCUGUCCUCAGAAAGUCGACAGUAGCAUAAUGCUGCAUCAUGAUGCCUACAUCAUUCACUUCUCUUCACCUCCUCACAUAGGCAUUGUAUCAUUGCACAUCAUCAGAGAAGAAAGCUAUCAGUGAGAGCUGCUCAAGUUCUUCAAACAAUAUGAAGGAUGGAUACAAGGGGAGGGCGACCCAGUUUAUUUCUGUCUAAUAAACCAAACCUGGGGAAAGGAAGAAGCUAAAACAAUGGGAGACAUUAACUACGGGUAAACAGCGAAAGUUUAAAACCAUAAUUUGAAAAUACAGAGCAUGUUCUUCCCUUAAAUUUAGCUUUA